rnacentral:rRNA from 1 species
GACGAACGCUGGCGGCGUGCCUAAUACAUGCAAGUCGACCUUAGUGGCGAACGGCUGAGUAACACGUGGGUAACCUGCCCAUCAAAAGGGGAUAACACUUGGAAACAGGUGCUCAUACCGUAUACUGAUGGAUGGACCCGCGGUGCAUUAGCUAGUGGGUGAGGUAAGGGCUCACCAAGGCAAUGAUGCAUAGCCGACCUGAGAGGGUGAUUGCCCACAUUGGGACUGAGACACGGCCCAAAAUCCGACGGGUGGCAGCAGUAGGGAAUCUUCGGAAAUGGAUGAAAGUCUGACGGAGCAACGCCGCUGGAGUGAAGAAGGUUUUCGGAUCGUAAAACUCUGUUGUUAGAGAAGCGGUAUCUAACCAGAAAGCCACGGCUAACUACGUGCCAGCAGCCGCGGUAAUUC